rnacentral:rRNA from 1 species
CAGCCGCCGCGGUAAUACGAAGGUCCCGAGCGUUGUUCGGAAUCACUGGGCGUAAAGGGAGCGUAGGCGGCGUGGUAAGUCAGAUGUGAAAUCCCGGGGCUCAACCCCGGAACUGCAUCCGAUACUGCCAUGCUAGAGGAUUGGAGAGGUAGCUGGAAUUCUUGGUGUAGCAGUGAAAUGCGUGGAGAUCAAGAGGAACACUCGUGGCGAAAGCGAGCUACUGGACAAUAACUGACGCUGAGGCUCGAAGGCCAGGUAGCGAAAGGGAUUAGAUACCCCAGUAGUCCCUGUCUCUUAUACC